AGGACGAACGCUGGCGGCGUGCUUAACACAUGCAAGUCGAGCGGAAAGGCCCUUCGGGGUACUCGAGCGGCGAACGGGUGAGUAACACGUGAGCAACCUGCCCUUAGCUUCGGGAUAGCUCCGGGAAACCGGAAUUAAUACCGGAUAUGACUAUGGCCGACAUCAGCCAUGGUGGAAAGUUUUUCGGCUAGGGAUGGACUCGCGGCCUAUCAGCUAGUUGGUGAGGUAACGGCUCACCAAGGCGACGACGGGUAGCCGGCCUGAGAGGGCGACCGGCCACACUGGGACUGAGACACGGCCCAGACUCCUACGGGAGGCAGCAGUGGGGAAUAUUGCGCAAUGGGCGAAAGCCUGACGCAGCGACGCCGCGUGGGAGAUGAAUGCCUUCGGGUUGUAAACCCUUUCAGCAGGGACGAAGCGAAAGUGACGGUACCUGCAGAAGAAGCGCCGGCUAACUACGUGCCAGCAGCCGCGGUAA
rnacentral:rRNA from 1 species